UUGAUGGGCAUUAAACUUGAAGGAAAGGUUCCCUCUAAGGUUGCCUAUCUAGAAAGGAAGUGGCCUCUCCAGCAAGCAUCAGUUUCUAGAUUUUCCCCAUUCCUAAGGGUUCUGUAAGGGGCGUGCAUAAGAGCACCAGCCGUCCCUGUCCGAAUGUUUCCUCUAUUUGUAUCUAUUUCAUGUAUCCAAUCUAGGUUUAUACUUAUUACCUAAUAUGUUCUUGACAAAUAAAAUAAAAUUAAAAAAUUGCGAAAAUCUCUUGUGGAGACUCAAAAAUCCCUUUCCUGAAGAGCAGUUUUUAUUCUAGAAAGGAAGUGGCCUCUCCGGCAAGCAUCAGUAGCCAAGGAGGAUUGGAAACACCAAGAAGCAGCCUGUAAUAAUGAAAAUACAGGUAGUCCUCAAUUUACAACAGUUCAUUUAGUGACCAUUCAAACUUACAAUGGCACUGAAAAAACCAACAGUAAUGAAGAUUUCACCGGUUUGAAAAGAUUACUCUGGAUUUGGAGGUGGGAUUGCAAGAAAAAAGGAAAUUUAGCUACAAUGAGUGAACGAAAGUGUUGGAAGAAAAAUCCGGUCUGGUUCCAAGUCGGGAGAAAGACGCCGGAAAUAAAAUGGAGGCUGGCUGAA